AUUAUAAAAUUUUAAGUUUACUUUCAUUAAAAAAUGAAACGUGUUUAUUGCGUGUUUUUUCGCAUGCCGUGCUUUAACCCGUCUCUAAUCGUGCCGUGUUUUUAAGGUCCACGUGCCUACAAUCUAAGCCCAGCACGACCCACGUGUGUGUCGUACCGUGCCGUACUGUACGGACACGUGCUGUGCCCGUGCCGUUCGGUCAUUGGCUACCUCUAUACCACACACAUUCAAAAUUAAUUAGAAAGGACAAUGUAGGGCACAAGCAAUCAAAUCAUCCCCAAAUAAUGCUUUAUCGAGCAUGCAAGUUGUGUCUGACCGUGUGUCAGAUAUGGUUAAUUAGGUUAUUCAUGCAUGCAAAUAUAUUAUUUUUCACAUGCCUUGUGAUUUUGCCUUCUGUCCUUUUGCAUAUCGGGUGCGGCGUUGUCACUCCAUUUUCUCACUUGAUAAACCACGGCUUAGGGUGUGUUUUAUGGCUCACCUUGCUGACGUUAUUGAUAAAUCUUUGCUGACGUUAUUGAUAAAUCCGAGUUGGAGUUGUUGAUUGUUGGUGAGGACGACUUUAGAAUAGGCUUUUAUUAUUUUAGUCUUUUGAUAUUUUUUAUUUUAUUUUAGUUAGUUCUUAUUAAUUAUGUGUUUAGGUUUUUUAUUAUAAUUUAAUUAUGAUUUAAUUUUUAUAUUUGAGUUAACUAGUAGAUUUAUCUUAUUAACAAUAAAGAGAUCUUAUUA
rnacentral:lncRNA from 1 species